UACGUAGGGAGCAAGCGUUGUCCGGAAUCAUUGGGCGUAAAGCGCGCGUAGGUGGCCUCGUAAGUCCGUUGUGAAAGUCAAAGGCUCAACCUUUGAAAGCCGAUGGAUACUGCGGAGCUAGAGUACGGAAGAGGCGAGUGGAAUUCCUGGUGUAGCGGUGGAAUGCGCAGAUAUCAGGAGGAACACCAAUAGCGAAGGCAGCUCGCUGGGACGUUACUGACACUGAGGCGCGAAAGCGUGGGGAGCGAACAGG
rnacentral:rRNA from 1 species